UACGAGGGUGCAAGCGUUAAUCGGAAUUACUGGGCGUAAAGCGCGCGUAGUGGUCGUUAGACACGUGGAUGUGAAAGCCCCGGGCUCAACCUGGGAACUGCGUUUGGAACUACAAGACUAGAGUGUGUCAGAGGGGGGUGGAAUUCCGCGUGUAGCAGUGAAAUGCGUAGAGAUGCGGAGGAACACCGAUGGCGAAGGCAGCCCCU
rnacentral:rRNA from 1 species